ACGUGAAAGAGACGUUCCCCGAGACGUUCGCGUGAUCGUGACGUCACUCGCGGCCUCUUAUCAACUGGGAACUGGCAGCCAGCGCCUGCUUAGUGCCAGUGUCACUUGGAGGAGACAAGAUGGUUCCACCGGUCCAAGUAUCACCUCUUAUUAAGUUCGCCAGAUAUUCUGCAUUGCUGGUUGGAAUUAUUUAUGGCACAAAAAGAUAUGACUAUUUGAAACCAAUUGCUGAAGAAGAAAGAAAGGUAGAAGCUGAAGAGAAAAUAAAGCGAGAGGAAGCAGAGCGAAUUGCUAAGGAAUUAGCAGCAGCUAAUGAAGAUACCAUUCUGAAAUGAAUUUCCAUCCGUUAAAGGACGCUGUAUCACCAUCUUGUAUUUCCUUGUUUAUUGUUCUUGAAUUGCUUAUGUAAAAGAAAUGUAUGGUAAUAUAAACAGACAAAGAUUAAAA